rnacentral:rRNA from 1 species
UACGUAGGGCGCAAGCGUUGUCCGGAAUUAUUGGGCGUAAGAACUCGUAGGCGGCUUGUCACGUCGGGUGUGAAAGCCCGGGGCUUAACCCCGGGUCUGCAUUCGAUACGGGCUAGCUAGAGUGUGGUAGGGGAGAUCGGAAUUCCUGGUGUAGGCGGUGAAAUGCGCAGAUAUCAGGAGGAACACCGGUGGCGAAGGCGGAUCUCUGGGCCAUUACUGACGCUGAGGAGCGAAAGCGUGGGGAGCGAACAGG